AGGUUUUAAAAAAUUAAUAGGGAAAGCGGUAAAAAUCCGCUGCAGCCCCCGCUACUGUAAAUAGGGAUGAAAUCAUAUAUAUUUGCCACUGGAAAUAUUUUUCCGGGAAGGUAUUGAGAUUAAAAUGAACUAUGAGCCAGGAGACCUGCCUGUAAAUUUU
rnacentral:ncRNA from 1 species